ensembl:lncRNA
CGCCAGCGGAAAGCCCGGCGGCGGCGAGAGGCCCCGGCGCCCGGCGGAGAUUCCCGCGCCUGCCCCCCUUCUCCCCGUCGAGGCUCGGCCCGAGGGCGGCGGCGGCUGUGACAGGAGUGGGUUUAUUCAAGGGCCACAGCCUGAUUGAUUUUGAAGAACAGCAUCCUUCUCUCGGAGAUCUCUGAAAGAAGAUGCAGAGGUGGCUGUAAAGGUAUCUAGGAAAUGUGGUGUCAAGAAGGCUGUCCUGGUGCACAGAAAAGGGCAGAAGAGACUGUGAAGAAAGCAAGGAAGCACAAUUUCAAGCGUGGGGAAUAGCAUUCUUUGGGAAGCACGGUUUUUGCAUGUGUGUACAUGUGCAUAUGAGGAGCUUUUUUAUGAUGUAAGAUACUCAUUCUGUUAAAAAUGUGAUCUAUAUAAUUUUUUUUCUUUAAGCAUUUCCAUGUAGCGUGACAUCUUUAGACAACAAAUCCGUGUUAACUCUUAGAAAUGACUGCAUUUGUUCUUGCAGGUAACCAUUAGCAUUAAACUGACAUGAGCCUUAAAACUCUCCUGUAGUUUGCAUUCAGAAUGGGAACACAGGUGCGAGUGGAAAGGAAGGAUGUUACAAAAUUGAACGUUGUAAGGAAGAAAAUUAACCCCUCCCCCUGCAGUUUUGUAAGAGGAAAUAGCAUGUGGAGGGCUGUGCAGAAGAUGAGUAAAAGCUGCUAUUGUAGUAAAAGACUCAGGAAAGGGAUUUGAACAAUUGUGUUCCCUAAGCAAAGCAUACAUGUGCUGAAUCUAAUGUGUUUUAUGACAUAUGUCUGUUCUAUAUGAUCUAGAGUGGUUAAAUCAAGAGCUAGCCAGCUGGAUGGCUUCUCACAAGGUAAACCCAGUCAAAGGAAGUGGAUAAGAAACUUCAGGUUUAAAAUAAUACUUGUUUUAUGUGAUAUUCUUGGGAAAGAAAAUGCAAGCGCGCACAAUACGCUCUUUUGAAGAAGCCUGUUGGAAAUUUGAAGGCGAAGUUCUCCAAAGCAUUCUCCAAAGCAUUUAGCUUUCUUGUGCUAAAUUUGAGGCAAGCCAGUAAGUCAUAACAGUAGAAUCUGAAAAUACAGACCAUCUGAAGCACUUUAUCUGAAUUUGAAGCUAGCAAUAGUGAUAUUUCAGCUGGUCAAUAAAAGUAAUUUGAUGCUGUACAAACUGGAUAAUUGAAGACCCAUUUCUAUUACAACAGC